CUGGGUGGGACCGGGGCGCUCUGCCCGUGGCCUUACCUGAGCCUGGGCCUCCUCACUUGGACCUGGGGUAGUCACAGGCCCCGCCCCCUGGGGUAGCGUGAGAUGGAAUGAGUUCGGCACCUGGCACAGUCCAUAGUGUGAACCCCAGUGGGACAGUUAUUCACCAGCCUUCCGGGCAGGGAUGGCCCACUCACCAGCUGCUCCUCCCCUGUGCGAGGGGCGCCUGAGUCAUGGGAACAAGGACGAACAGGACUGAAACUGUGCAAGUUAAAGCAAGCGAAGGACAAGGAUCCCUGUGGGAGCCUGGCAUGAGACUUCUGGGCUCUGGGCCUUUGCACUGACCGUUCCUCCUGCCUGGAGCACCUUUCCUCUUUUGCCUCUUCUUCUGCUUUAGUUUUUGAUGCCCCUGGGCAGAGUCGAGGAUUUCCUCCUCUCAUCGCUGCCAGCAACUUAAAGUGGUUGGGUCCACACGUGCCCACUGUGGGACCUCACCAAACUUGUUCCAUCAUCUGAAAAGUGGGGAGAAUAGGAGGAUUUACCUCCUGGGUUUAUUAGGAAGAUUUAAGGAGCUAACCCUGGAAAAUGCUGCCCCGUCUCCCCUUCCCCAGCGAAGAAGCGGAUAUAAACAUCUGGACCUCAAUGGAUAACUGGGUAAUCAUUCUCCUAUGAUUCCCCUGUGCUAGGCAUGUUAAAUACAUUUUUUAUGCUUUU
rnacentral:lncRNA from 1 species